rnacentral:rRNA from 1 species
UACAGAGGGUGCGAGCGUUGUCCGGAAUCACUGGGCGUAAAGGGCGCGUAGGCGGCCUGAUAAGUCGGGGGUGAAAUCCUGUGGCUUAACCACAGGGCUGCCUCCGAGACUGUCGGGCUCGAGCACAGUAGAGGCAGGUGGAAUUCCCGGUGUAGCGGUGAAAUGCGCAGAUAUCGGGAGGAACACCAGUAGCGAAGGCGGCUCGCUGGGCCACACCUGACGCUGAGACGCGAAAGCGUGGGGAGCAAACAGG